CGUCUCGACUUCGUCAUAUUAAGUGUCAUUCUUGUCAAUUCUGUGUGUACAUGGUUUUGGUUCAUUAUUCUUUUGUUUUGAUUUGCUUUACCACUGGCAGGAGGCCAUUUCCCCUGCGCUGCUGAUAACCAGUGUCCCAACAUCUUACUUUGAGCUGAGGCCUACAGUGGAGGGGCUACUGUCUUCCUGGUGGUGUCCCCUUUUUGGUGUGCUACUAUUAUACCUCACGGGUGUUGCUGAUUUGACCUUUGCUGUGUGUGUGUGUGUGCGAAUACGUGGACACUCUUGCAGUGGUGUGACCUCCUGGGACGCCUCUCUCCUUAGUUAGCCAGUCCCCUCGCUGGUAAGCCUCAGUUCCUGCUGUCUGUCUCCCCUUGGUAUGUCUGAUGUGCUUGAGACAAUGUGAGUGUAAUUUUAGAUUUUGUUAAUAAAUUAUUGUCAUUGUACUGGAAUGGAA